GGUCUUCCAUUAGUAGUAAUCUAAGUUUUAGGUUCCGCAUUAUCAAAGAUCCUAGAAAGUAAACUGCAAUAGAAAAACCCUGCACAUUUCAAUGAAUGUUUGGUUCCUUUUAUCUCUUCCUUUAUAACAGAUCAUGUGGAUACAUGACAAACAAAUCGCUUCUAGCAAACUGCUUGAAAUAAGUACUAAGCGUGCAAAACAGAAUAUCAUAUUUUCAUGUUUAUCUACACAGUCGCCAGAGGGCAUCUCAUUUUUAUUUAUUUUGAAGCCAGAUCUCCUCAAUUCUAAACAUGAAUUGAAACGAAGGAAACGACUAAUGAGGGGGGCCAGGGACUGACGUCAUCCUAGGCGGUGACGAGGUGCUCAGGCGAGAGGCCCUUGGCGCGCUCGACGUCGAUGAUGGAUUCCAGCGGCUUCGGCUUCAGCGGGGUGAACCCGCUCGCGAAUUGGGAGUAACCCCUCCGCUGCGGCUACCGGGAGAGGUCGGCUAGCGAGGAAGAUGGCGCUGCAGAAGCCGCCGCGGGAUGCAGCGCCGGUGUGGCCGGUAUGCCUCCAUGGGCGGCGGCCGGGGCGCGGAGAGCGGCGGUGGC
rnacentral:lncRNA from 1 species